AGGAGAGAGAAAAUUCGAUCACAUUAGGAAACAACAAGCAUGGUCGGUUUUCCCUUUAGUUUUUAGGGUUUUAUUUUGUAUUCUCUUAGCCUAUUUAAGGGCUUAUUUUUUAGGAAGAACACACCUUUAAUAGUAUUCAGAAUUUAUUUGUGAGAUUGAAUUCUCUUUGUUCUCUUUGAACACCUAAAACACCAUUAGUGAAUGAGUGUUUUAGUUUGACUUACCAAUAGGAUAUCCAUCACCUAUCGUGGCGUCUUCAUUAUACCAAAGUUUCUAAUCACAGGUUGGUUAGGGGUCAAGGUGACCAUUAGAACUUGAACAUAAUUAGAUUUGAGCUAAUAUAGUACGAGUUUCGGUGCAAGUCGUCCUACGUUCGUAUCAGAUGAAUCAAGGCCUAAGAUCAGGCCGAAAGGCGUAGUCGAUGGGCAACAGGUGAACACUCUGUACUACCCCUGGAGGCUAGGUUAGCCAAAAUAUGGUUAUCGGUUCAAGGAUGUAAGGUGCCUUUACUUUUCCAGGGUAAGAAGGGGUAGAGAAAAUGCCCUGAGCCAAUGUUCAGGUACCAAGCGCUACGGCGCUAAAGUAACCUAUGCCGUACUCCUAGGAAAAGCUCAAACAACCUUACAAAAUAGUACCUAUACCAAAAAUCAACACAGGUGGGUAGGUGGAGAAUACCUAGGGGUGUGUGAUGUGAUUCCGCCCGAGCCCGCUCAAUCGAUAACCCGCUGGGGUGCCGAUCCGUUACGGAUGAAGGUGGGACCAACCACUAAAGCACAAGCCAAGAAGUUCAAGGAUAACCUUGCUGUGCUUACUCAAAGGAUAAAUUAUAAUCAAGAAGGAUUGAUCAUGACCAAAUAACCAAGACCUGUUUUGCUGAUACAAGCACUGGAGACUGGUACGGACCCGAAUGACGGUUUUGGUACAUUUUUGGAGUCUGGGAAGCAUGAAAUGGUUCCAUUGAUUUAUGGGUUCAAUACAUAUGCCUAAUAUUUGGCAUCCUAAAAAGAACCUAGAAGCUGAUUUGAAGCUCAAAGAGGUCAAAGAUUGAUCAAAGUCAACUUGAUAAAAAAGGCUAGCAUUUUUAGUUUCCUAACUUGUUUUUACUUUUUGUUUUAGGAAACUACCAUUACUUUUUGGCUUUUAUUUAUUUAUUUUCUGGAAAAAUAACUUUAGGAAGGUUUUUAUUUUAUUCUUUCCAUUGUAAAUUAAUUAAUUCCUAAUUUAAUAUAAAGGAAUUAAUUAAUCAAACUUAGAUUAGGAAAGGAAGUAUAGUUUCGGCCAACUAGGUUUCUUUAUGUGUAGUGGCCGGUUUUCUUUAUGUUCUAGGGUUUUAUUUCGUGGCUUUGUAUCCUAUUUAAAGGCUUAUUUUUCAAUAAGAAUACAACUUUGAUUUGAUUGAGAAAAUACUUGUGAGAUUAAUUAUCUCUUUGUUCUUUGAGAACACCUAAAACACCAUUAGAGGAUUGGCUAUUUUAGCUUAACUUAUCAAUAGGUUUUCCAUCCCCUAUUGUGGUGUCUACAUUAUACCAAGGUUUCUAACCACAGGUUGGUUAGGGGUUGAGGUCAAUUCCACUAGAACUUGAUCUUAAUUAAGAUCUGGGCCAAUAUAAUACGGGUUUAGGAGCAGGUCGUCCUAGGUUCGUAUCAGUGUGAGACAACUGUCUCUAAGGAACUCAGCAAACUAGCCCCAUAAAUUAAAGAGAAAGGGUGUCUCCUCACAAAAGGGGUUGCAGUGAUCAAGCCGGGGUGACUGUUUACCAAAAACACAGGUCUCCGCAAAGUCAUAAGACUAUGUCUAGGGGCUAACACCUACCCAAUACUAUGAGGUCAAGGAAUUUGUUGACCUGAUGACAUGGAAGCCCGUGACUGAAGCCCCGGUACAGCCGACCGCUCUACGGCGACCGAAGCCCCGGUGAACGGUGGCCGUAACUAUAACGGUCCUAAGGUAGCGAAAUUCCUUGUUGGAUAAGUUUAGACCCGUACGAAAGGCAUAAUGAUCUAGACAUGUCUAUGAAGAUGCCAACUAUCUGCACUUGGACAUAAAGACCCUAUGAAGCUUUACUGUUCCCUGGGAUUGGCUUUAGGCCUUUCCUGCGCAGCCUAGGUGGAGGGCAAAGAACGCCUCCUUCUAAGGGGCCCGAGCCAUCAAUGAGAUACCAAUCUGGAAGACCUAGAAUUCUAACCUUGUGUCAGGACCUAUGAGCCAAGGGAUAGUCUUAGGUAGAUAGUUUCUAUAGGGCAUAGUCCACCCAAAAGGAAAUGGAGGCAUGUAAAAGUUUCCUCAAGCUAGACAGAGAUUGGCCCUUGAGUGUAAAGUCGAACAGGGAUGAAAGUCGGCCUUAGUGAUCCAACGAUGCCGAGUGGAAAGGCCAUCGCUCAAUGGAUAAAAGUUAUUCUAGGGAUAACAGGUUGAUCUUCCCGAAGAGCUCACAUCGAUGGGAAGGUUUAGCACCUCAAUGUUGGCUUUUCGCCACCGAAGGUUGUAGUAUGUUCCAAAGGUUGUGUUGUUCGCUCAUUAAAGCAAUACAUGAGCUAGGUUCAGAACGUUGUGAGACAGUUCGGUCCAUAUCCGAAAUAAGUAGUAGGUUCAGAACGUUGUGAGACAGUUCGGUCCAUAUCCGAUGUGGGCAUUAGAACAUUGAGAGGACAUUUCCCUAGUACAAGAGGAUCAGGAAGGAUGCAUGUCUGGUGUACCAGUUAUUGUGCCCACAGUAAACGCUAGGUAGCCAAGUGUGGAGCGGAUAACUGCUGAAAGCAUCUAAUUAGUAAGCUGAGCUCAAUAUUUGCGCUCUCCUACUCUAACUUCCCUAGAGCUUUUAAUAGCAUAGCCAAGACAACAAUGGGUUUUCUACCCCUGCAAGGGUGAAGCGAUUGAAGUUUUGAGAAUUCCAGAGAAUGUCACGAUGAGAGGAGCUGUUUGUCAUUACAAUAGGUCUCAAGUGGAAGUGCAGUGAUAUAUGCAGUUGAGGCAUCCUAACAGACCGGUAGACUUGAAC
rnacentral:rRNA from 1 species